rnacentral:rRNA from 1 species
UNCNUGNGNAGGCUACCAUGCANGUCGAGCGGUAGCACAGAGAGCUUGCUCUCGGGUGACGAGCGGCGGACGGGUGAGUAAUGUCUGGGAAACUGCCUGAUGGAGGGGGAUAACUACUGGAAACGGUAGCUAAUACCGCAUAACGUCGCAAGACCAAAGUGGGGGACCUUCGGGCCUCAUGCCAUCAGAUGUGCCCAGAUGGGAUUAGCUAGUAGGUGGGGUAAUGGCUCACCUAGGCGACGAUCCCUAGCUGGUCUGAGAGGAUGACCAGCCACACUGGAACUGAGACACGGUCCAGACUCCUACGGGAGGCAGCAGUGGGGAAUAUUGCACAAUGGGCGCAAGCCUGAUGCAGCCAUGCCGCGUGUAUGAAGAAGGCCUUCGGGUUGUAAAGUACUUUCAGCGAGGAGGAAGGCGUUAAGGUUAAUAACCUUGGCGAUUGACGUUACUCGCAGAAGAAGCACCGGCUAACUCCGUGCCAGCAGCCGCGGUAAUACGGAGGGUGCAAGCGUUAAUCGGAAUUACUGGGCGUAAAGCGCACGCAGGCGGUCUGUCAAGUCGGAUGUGAAAUCCCCGGGCUCAACCUGGGAACUGCAUUCGAAACUGGCAGGCUAGAGUCUUGUAGAGGGGGGUAGAAUUCCAGGUGUAGCGGUGAAAUGCGUAAGAUCUGGAGGAAUACCGGUGGCGAANGCGGCCCCCUGGACAAAGACUGACGCUCAGGUGCGAAAGCGUGGGGAGCAACCAGGAUUAGAUACCCUGGUAGUCCACGCCGUAAACGAUGUCGACUUGGAGGUUGUGCCCUUGAGGCGUGGCUUCCGGAGCUAACGCGUUAAGUCGACCGCCUGGGGAGUACGGCCGCAAGGUUAAAACUCAAAUGAAUUGACGGGGGCCCGCACAAGCGGUGGAGCAUGUGGUUUAAUUCGAUGCAACGCGAAGAACCUUACCUACUCUUGACAUCCAGAGAACUUAGCAGAGAUGCUUUGGUGCCUUCGGGAACUCUGAGACAGGUGCUGCAUGGCUGUCGUCAGCUCGUGUUGUGAAAUGUUGGGUUAAGUCCCGCAACGAGCGCAACCCUUAUCCUUUGUUGCCAGCGGUCCGGCCGGGAACUCAAAGGAGACUGCCAGUGAUAAACUGGAGGAAGGUGGGGAUGACGUCAAGUCAUCAUGGCCCUUACGAGUAGGGCUACACACGUGCUACAAUGGCAUAUACAAAGAGAAGCGACCUCGCGAGAGCAAGCGGACCUCAUAAAGUAUGUCGUAGUCCGGAUUGGAGUCUGCAACUCGACUCCAUGAAGUCGGAAUCGCUAGUAAUCGUAGAUCAGAAUGCUACGGUGAAUACGUUCCCGGGCCUUGUACACACCGCCCGUCACACCAUGGGAGUGGGUGCAAAAGAAGUAGGUAGCUUAACCUUCGG